rnacentral:rRNA from 1 species
UUACGGAGGAAAAGAAACCAACAGGGAUUGCCCCAGUAACGGCGAGUGAAGCGGCAAAAGCUCAAAUUUGAAAUCCUGCGGGAAUUGUAAUUUGAAGGUUUCGUGGUCUGAGUCGGCCGCGCCCAAGUCCAUUGGAACAUGGCGCCUGGGAGGGUGAGAGCCCCGUAUGGCGCACGCCGACUCUUUGCACCGCGGCUCCGACGAGUCGAGUUGUUUGGGAAUGCAGCUCUAAGUGGGUGGUAAAUUCCAUCUAAAGCUAAAUAUUGGCGAGAGACCGAUAGCGAACAAGUACAGUGAUGGAAAGAUGAAAAGCACUUUGAAAAGAGAGUGAAACAGCACGUGAAAUUGUUGAAAGGGAAGGGCUUGCAAGCAGACACGGUUUUACCGGGCCAGCGUCGAAAAGGGGGGAGGAACAAGAACUCGAGAAUGUGGCGCGCACCUUCGGGCGCGCGUGUUAUAGCUCGUGUUGACGCCUCCAUCCCUUUUCGAGGCCUGCGAUUCUAGGACGCUGGCGUAAUGGUUGCAAGCCGCCCGUCUUGA